rnacentral:rRNA from 1 species
AACGCGAAGAACCUUACCAGCCCUUGACAUCCCGGUCGCGGACUCCAGAGACGGAGUUCUUCAGUUCGGCUGGACCGGAGACAGGUGCUGCAUGGCUGUCGUCAGCUCGUGUCGUGAGAUGUUGGGUUAAGUCCCGCAACGAGCGCAACCCCCGUCCUUAGUUGCUACCAUUCAGUUGAGCACUCUAAGGAGACUGCCGGUGAUAAGCCGCGAGGAAGGUGGGGAUGACGUCAAGUCCUCAUGGCCCUUACGGGCUGGGCUACACACGUGCUACAAUGGCGGUGACAAUGGGACGCUAAGGGGCAACCCUUCGCAAAUCUCAAAAAGCCGUCUCAGUUCGGAUUGGGCUCUGCAACUCGAGCCCAUGAAGUUGGAAUCGCUAGUAAUCGUGGAUCAGCAUGCCACGGUGAAUACGUUCCCGGGCCUUGUA